rnacentral:rRNA from 1 species
GAUGAACGCUGGCGGCGUGCCUAAUACAUGCAAGUCGAGCGAACAGACGAGGAGCUUGCUCCUCUGACGUUAGCGGCGGACGGGUGAGUAACACGUGGAUAACCUACCUAUAACACUGGGAUAACUUCGGGAAACCGGAGCUAAUACCGGAUAACAUGUUGAACCGCAUGGUUCAACAGUGAAAGACGGUCUUGCUGUCACUUAUAGAUGGAUCCGCGCCGCAUUAGCUAGUUGGUAAGGUAACGGCUUACCAAGGCAACGAUGCGUAGCCGACCUGAGAGGGUGAUCGGCCACACUGGAACUGAGACACGGUCCAGACUCCUACGGGAGGCAGCAGUAGGGAAUCUUCCGCAAUGGGCGAAAGCCUGACGGAGCAACGCCGCGUGAGUGAAGAAGGUCUUCGGAUCGUAAAACUCUGUUAUUAGGGAAGAACAAAUGAGUAAGUAACUAUGCACGUCUUGACGGUACCUAAUCAGAAAGCCACGGCUAACUACGUG